GGAGAGGUCGCAUAGCCCGGUCUAGUGCGCGCGACUCGAAAUCGCGUGUGGGCGCAAGUCCACCGGGGGUUCAAAUCCCUCCCUCUCCGCCA
rnacentral:tRNA from 1 species